rnacentral:lncRNA from 1 species
AUGGACAUCACCAGAUGGUCAAACCAAAAUCAGACUGAUUAUAUUCUUUGCAGCCAAAGAUGGAGAAGCUCUAUACAGUCAGCAAAAACAAGACCGGGAGCUGACUGUGGCUCAGAUCAUGAACUCCUUAUUACCAAAUUCAGGCUUAAACUGAAGAAAGUAGGGAAAACCGCUAGACCAUUCAGGUAUGACCUAAAUCAAAUCCCUUAUGAUUAUACAGUGGAAGUGACAAAUAGAUUUAAGGGCCUAGAUCUGAUAGAUAGAGUGCCUGAUAAACUAUGGAAUGAAGUUCGUGACAUUGUGCAGGAGACAGGGAUCAAGACCAUCCCCAUGGAAAAGAAAUGCAAAAAAGAAAAAUGGCUGUCUGGGGAGGCCUUACAAAUAGCUGUGAAAAGAAGAGAGGCAAAAAGCAAAGGAGAAAAGGAAAGAUAUAGGCAUCUGAAUGCAGAGUUCCAAAGAAUAGCAAGAAGAGAUAAGAAAGCCUUCUUCAGCGAUCAAUGCAAAGAAAUAGAGGAAAACAACAGAUUGGGAAAGACUAGAGAUCUCUUCAAGAAAAUUAGAGAUACCAAGGGAACAUUUCAUGCAAAGAUGGGCUCAAUAAAGGACAGAAAUGGUAUGGACCUAACAGAAGCAGAAGAUAUGAAGAAGAGGUGGCAAGAAUACACAGAUGAACUGUACAAAAAAGAUCUUCAUGACCCAGAUAGUCAUGAUGAUGUGAUCACUAAUCUAGAACCAGAUAUCUUGGAAUGUGAAGUCAAGUGGGCCUUAGAAAGCAUCACUACAAACAAAGCUAGUGGAGGUGAUGGAAUUCCAAUUGAGCUGUUUCAAAUCCUGGAAGAUGAUGCUGUGAAAGUGCUGCACUCAAUAUGCCAGCAAGUUUGGAAAACUCAGCAGCGGCCACAGGACUGGAAAAGGUCAGUUUUCAUUCCAAUUCCAAAGAAAGGCAAUGCCAAAGAAUAUUCAAACUACCGCACAAUUGCACUCAUCUCACAUGCUAGUAAAGUAAUGCUCAAAAUUCUCCAAGCCAGGCUUCAGCAAUACAUGUACCGUGAACUCCCUGAUGUUCAAGCUGGUUUUAGAAAAGGCAGAGGAACCAGAGAUCAAAUCGCCAACAUCCGCUGGAUCAUGGGAAAAGCAAGAGAGUUCCAGAAAAACAUCUAUUUCUGCUUUAUUGACUAUGCCAAAGCCUUUGACUGUGUGGAUCACAAUAAACUGUGGAAAAUUCUGAGAGAGAUGGGAAUACCAGACCACCUGACCUGCCUCUUGAGAAAUCUGUAUGCAGGUCAGGAAGCAACAGUUAGAACUGGACAUGGAACAACAGACUGGUUCCAAAUAGGAAAAGGAGUACGUCAAGGCUGUAUAUUGUCACCCUGCUUAUUUAACUUCUAUGCAGAGUGCAUCAUGAGAAACGCUGGACUGGAAGAAGCACAAGAUGGAAUCAAGAUUGCCAGGAGAAGUAUCAAUAACCUCAGAUAUGCAGAUAACACCACCCUUAUGGCAGAAAGUGAAGAGGAACUAAAAAGCCUCUUGAUGAAAGUGAAAGAGGAGAGCGAAAAAGUUGGCCUAAAGCUCAACAUUCAGAAAAUAAAGAUCAUGGCAUCUGAUCCCAUCACUUCAUGGGAAAUAGAUGGGGAAACAGUGUCAGACUUUAUUUUUGGGGGCUCCAAAAUCACUGCAGAUGGUGACUGCAGCCAUGAAAUUAAAAGACGCUUACUCCUUGGAAGAAAAGUUAUGACCAACAUAGAUAGCAUAUUGAAAAGCAGAGACAUUACUUUGCUGACUAAGGUCCAUCUGGUCAAGGCUAUGGUUUUUCCUGUGGUCAUGUACGGAUGUGAGAGUUGUAUUGUGAAGAAGGCUGAGCACCAAAGAAUUGAUGCUUUUGAACUGUGGUGUUGGAGAAGACUCUUGAGAGUCCCUUGGACUGCAAUGAGAUCCAACCAGUCCAUUCUGAAGGAGAUCAGCCCUGGGAUUUCUUUGGAAGGAACAAUAUUAAAGCUGAAACUCCAGUACUUUGGCCACCUCAUGCAAAGAGUUGACUCAUUGGAAAAGACUCUAAUGCUGGAAGAGAUUGGGGGCAGGAGGAGAAGGGGACGACCCGGGAUGAGAUGGCUGGAUGGCAUCACGGACUCGAUGGACUUGAGUCUGAGUGAACUCCAGGAGAUGGUGAUGGACAGGGAGGCCUGGCGUGCUGCGAUUCAUGGGGUCGCAAAGAGUCGGACAUGA